rnacentral:miRNA from 10 species
UUAGGUUGGUGCAAAGGUAAUCGAGGUUUUGACCAUUACUUUUAAUGUCAAAAACUGCAAUUACUUUUGCAUCAACCUAAUAUUUCAG